rnacentral:rRNA from 1 species
CCUACGGGUGGCAGCAGUAGGGAAUUUUCGUCAAUGGGCGCAAGCCUGAACGAGCAAUGCCGCGUGAACGAGGAAGGUCUUCGGGUCGUAAAGCUCUGUCCUCAAGGAAGAUAAUGACGGUACUUGAGGAGGAAGCCCCGGCUAACUACGUGCCAGCAGCCGCGGUAAUACGUAGGGGGCUAGCGUUAUCCGGAAUUACUGGGCGUAAAGGGUGCGUAGGUGGUUUCUUAAGUCAGAGGUGAAAGGCUACGGCUCAACCGUAGUAAGCCUUUGAAACUGGGGAACUUGAGUGCAGGAGAGGAGAGUGGAAUUCCUAGUGUAGCGGUGAAAUGCGUAGAUAUUAGGAGGAACACCAGUUGCGAAGGCGGCUCUCUGGACUGUAACUGACACUGAGGCACGAAAGCGUGGGGAGCAAACAGGAUUAGAUACCCGGGUAGUC